rnacentral:rRNA from 1 species
CGCUGGCGGCGUGCCUAACACAUGCAAGUCGAACGGGCCUUGUGCGUAGCACAAGGAAAUCCAAAGCACAAAGCACUAAAUCCAAAACAAAUUCAAAUGACAAAAAUCCAAAAAGUCCAAAAGCUAAGGGAAUUGGGAUUUUGAAUUUAGAUGUUGUUUGGAAUUUUGGAUUUAGGAUUUCGGAUUUUCUCGUGCUAUGCACGAGGUCAGUGGCGAACGGGUGAGUAACACGUAGGAAACCUACCCUUAAGAGGGGGAUAAUGUCGAGAAAUUGGCACUAAUACCCCAUAAGACUACGAAAUGAGAAGUUCGUGGUAAAAGUCUUGAGAAAUCGGGAUGCUGAAGGAUGGGCCUGCGGCCUAUCAGGUAGUUGGUGGGGUAAAGGCCUACCAAGCCUAAGACGGGUAGCCGGACUGAGAGGUUGGACGGCCACACUGGAACUGAGAAACGGUCCAGACUCCUACGGGAGGCAGCAGUGGGGAAUCUUCCGCAAUGGGCGCAAGCCUGACGGAGCGACGCCGCGUGAGGGACGAAGGCCUUCGGGUUGUAAACCUCUUUUCUGGGGGAAGAACGUUUGGCCUGUUAAUAGCGGGUUGAGUUGACGGUACCCCAGGAAUAAGCCCCGGCUAACUACGUGCCAGCAGCCGCGGUAAUACGUAGGGGGCGAGCGUUGUCCGGAAUCACUGGGCGUAAAGGGCGCGUAGGCGGCUUUAGAAGUCGCAGGUGAAAUCCCGCGGCUCAACCGUGGAACUGCCUGCGAAACCAUUUAGCUUGAGGACAGGAGAGGGAAGCGGAAUUCCUGGUGUAGCGGUGAAAUGCGUAGAUAUCAGGAGGAACACCAGUGGCGAAGGCGGCUUUCUGGCCUGGUCCUGACGCUGAGGCGCGAAAGCUAGGGGAGCAAACAGGAUUAGAUACCCUGGUAGUCCUAGCUGUAAACGAUGGGCACUAGGUGUUGGGGGGUUCAUACCCUUCAGUGCCGUAGGUAACCCAAUAAGUGCCCCGCCUGGGGAGUACGGUCGCAAGACUGAAACUCAAAGGAAUUGACGGGGGCCCGCACAAGCGGUGGAGCAUGUGGUUUAAUUCGAUGCAACGCGAAGAACCUUACCAGGGUUUGACAUGCCGGUGGUACGGAGUGGAAACACGAAGGACCUUUCGGGGAGCCGGCACAGGUGGUGCAUGGUUGUCGUCAGCUCGUGCCGUGAGGUGUUGGGUUAAGUCCCGCAACGAGCGCAACCCCUAUUCUCUGUUGCUCCGAGCAAUCGGGGCUCUCUGAGGAAACUGCCGGCGAUGAGCUGGAGGAAGGUGGGGAUGACGUCAAGUCCUCAUGGCCCUUAUGCCCAGGGCAACACACGUGCUACAAUGGUAGGAACAAAGGGAAGCCAACCUGUGAAGGGGAGCCAAUCUUGAAAAACCUAUCUCAGUUGGGAUCGGAGUCUGCAACUCGACUCCGUGAACAUGGAAUCGCUAGUAAUCGUGGACCAGCACGCCACGGUGAAUACGUUCCCGGGCCUUGUACACACCGCCCGUCACACCACGAAAGUCUGCUGUACCC